CAUGCAAGUCGAGGGGCAGCAUAAUGGAUAGCAAUAUCUAUGGUGGCGACCGGCGCACGGGUGCGUAACGCGUAUGCAACCUACCUUUAACAGGGGGAUAACACUGAGAAAUUGGUACUAAUACCCCAUAAUAUCAUAGAAGGCAUCUUUUAUGGUUGAAAAUUCCGAUGGUUAGAGAUGGGCAUGCGUUGUAUUAGCUAGUUGGUGGGGUAACGGCUCACCAAGGCGACGAUACAUAGGGGGACUGAGAGGUUAACCCCCCACACUGGUACUGAGACACGGACCAGACUCCUACGGGAGGCAGCAGUGAGGAAUAUUGGUCAAUGGACGCAAGUCUGAACCAGCCAUGCCGCGUGCAGGAUGACGGCUCUAUGAGUUGUAAACUGCUUUUGUACGAGGGUAAACGCAGAUACGUGUAUCUGUCUGAAAGUAUCGUACGAAUAAGGAUCGGCUAACUCCGUGCCAGCAGCCGCGGUAAUACGGAGGAUUCAAGCGUUAUCCGGAUUUAUUGGGUUUAAAGGGUGCGUAGGCGGUUUGAUAAGUUAGAGGUGAAAUUUCGGGGCUCAACCCUGAACGUGCCUCUAAUACUGUUGAGCUAGAGAGUAGUUGCGGUAGGCGGAAUGUAUGGUGUAGCGGUGAAAUGCUUAGAGAUCAUACAGAACACCGAUUGCGAAGGCAGCUUACCAAACUAUAUCUGACGUUGAGGCACGAAAGCGUGGGGAGCAAACAGGAUUAGAUACCCUGGUAGUCCACGCAGUAAACGAUGAUAACUCGUUGUCGGCGAUACACAGUCGGUGACUAAGCGAAAGCGAUAAGUUAUCCACCUGGGGAGUACGUUCGCAAGAAUGAA
rnacentral:rRNA from 1 species